UCUUCUACUGCCUCAUAUUUUGGAAAUCAAUACAAAAGUCAUGCUGUUUCCUCUACAGAGUGAUCCAACUCACAGCAGUGUGGGAAGAAGGUAGUAGGGAGAGAAACCUGAGGCAGACAUUCCUGUGGUCAAGCUGUUCUGGAGGUCUCACGUGAAGAGACAGAGGAGAGGAGAACACUGUCAAUGCUGAAAGAAGAGGAAACUGAGCACUAAACAACUUUACUUUGGUUUUCCUGCAAAGAAAAUGAAUGUAAUUUUUCCUCACUGCUUAGAAAAAUACAAACAUUAAGGAUCAUCUUCUUAAACUAUCAGAAAAAUUCCAUUAUUCUGUGAUUGUCUGGCAGCUGAAGCACUACCCAUUUGCACUGCACGUGCCCAGGAUGAGCAGGACUCCGACCUUCACUCACAGAGGAGUUUUUCAGUGUCUGGUGAAGGUUUGGCAGUGGCAUGAACACACAAUUCAAAGAAGUGAAGGAACAACAUUG
rnacentral:lncRNA from 1 species